ACACAUGCAAGUCGAGCGGAAAGGCCCCUUCGGGGGUACUCGAGCGGCGAACGGGUGAGUAACACGUGAGCAACCUGCCCCUGACUCUGGGAUAAGCCCGGGAAACUGGGUCUAAUACCGGAUAUGACCACUGGUCGCAUGAUCGUGUGGUGGAAAGUUUUUCGGUUGGGGAUGGGCUCGCGGCCUAUCAGCUUGUUGGUGGGGUGAUGGCCUACCAAGGCGACGACGGGUAACCGGCCUGAGAGGGCGACCGGUCACACUGGGACUGAGACACGGCCCAGACUCCUACGGGAGGCAGCAGUGGGGAAUAUUGCGCAAUGGGCGGAAGCCUGACGCAGCGACGCCGCGUGAGGGAUGACGGCCUUCGGGUUGUAAACCUCUUUCAGCAGGGACGAAGCUAACGUGACGGUACCUGCAGAAGAAGCGCCGGCUAACUACGUGCCAGCAGCCGCGGUAAUACGUAGGGCGCAAGCGUUGUCCGGAAUUAUUGGGCGUAAAGAGCUCGUAGGCGGUUUGUCGCGUCUGUCGUGAAAGCCCACGGCUUAACCGUGGGUCUGCGGUGGAUACGGGCAGACUAGAGGCAGGUAGGGGAGAACGGAAUUCCCGGUGUAGCGGUGAAAUGCGCAGAUAUCGGGAGGAACACCGGUGGCGAAGGCGGUUCUCUGGGCCUGUACUGACGCUGAGGAGCGAAAGCGUGGGGAGCGAACAGGAUUAGAUACCCUGGUAGUCCACGCCGUAAACGUUGGGCGCUAGGUGUGGGGUCCUUCCACGGAUUCCGCGCCGCAGCUAACGCAUUAAGCGCCCCGCCUGGGG
rnacentral:rRNA from 1 species